GAUGCAAUGCCAAGUACCUUCUACAGCAAAGGAGACAUUGAUGAACUUGGUUACACAGGGUUUACUUCUUGCUUGUAGAAGAAGAGCUAUUCAGUAAACUUGGGAUGAAGGAGUGAAAUGAACACUAUCCUUUUCAUUUGAUUGUGGAACAUCUGAUGGAGACACAGAUGCUGAUGCCAUGAGACAAGCAGAUCUUCAUUAUUCUUUGAAGAUCUCCUCCAACCACCCUACAUGGCCAAAUAGCUUUCAGAAACUCAGUAUCUUGGUUUCACAGAGUCCAAGGAAGAAACACUAGCCCCUCCAUCAAGUAAACUCACUUAGAGUUAGUCAUUCUCCUGGAGUCAAGAAGCUGACUGUGAUGGCCACUGUGUCAUCCUGGACAACAUGCUGUGUAAACC